UACGUAGGGGGCUAGCGUUGUCCGGAUUUAUUGGGCGUAAAGAGCGUGUAGGCGGCCAGGUAGGUCUGCUGUGAAAACUCGAGGCUCAACCUCGAGAUGUCGGCGGAAACCAUCUGGCUAGAGUCCGGAAGAGGAGAGUGGAAUUCCUGGUGUAGCGGUGAAAUGCGCAGAUAUCAGGAAGAACACCCGUGGCGAAGGCGGUUCUCUGGGACGGUACUGACGCUGAGACGCGAAAGCGUGGGGAGCGAACAGG
rnacentral:rRNA from 1 species